UGCAUGAAUUAACAUGCAUACAACAAGUGUAAGGUGUAGUAAUACAACCGAUGCCAGAGUAGGACAUUAUGACAACGUGCCACUGAUCAUGUGCCUAAGAUC
ncrna:unclassified sequences RAGATH-20 RNA